UACGUAGGGGGCAAGCGUUAUCCGGAUUUACUGGGUGUAAAGGGAGCGUAGACGGUUAUGCAAGUCUGAAGUGAAAGCCCAAGGCUCAACCAUGGGACUGCUUUGGAAACUGUAAAACUGGAGUGCAGGGGAGGUAAGCGGAAUUCCUAGUGUAGCGGUGAAAUGCGUAGAUAUUAGGAGGAACACCAGUGGCGAAGGCGGCUUACUGGACUGUAACUGACGUUGAGGCUCGAAAGCGUGGGGAGCAAACAGG
rnacentral:rRNA from 1 species